rnacentral:sRNA from 1 species
GCAUGUUCGCCGCGAGGGCUGCGUUCGAUGGAGCGAUAUUGGCUGGUUACCGAAUUGCCAACAAUUGUAGCAAUAGUUUCGAUUUAAUUGCAAAAUCAGCAAUUAUGGGGUGGCGCUCGGGUGUCGGUGGGCACCCGAGCUGAAUGUUCGUC